rnacentral:rRNA from 1 species
AUCUUCUGAGUAACACGAUUAAAUAAAUCAAAACUUUCAACAACGGAUCUCUUGGUUCUGGCAUCGAUGAAGAACGCAGCGAAAUGCGAUAAGUAAUGUGAAUUGCAGAAUUCAGUGAAUCAUCGAAUCUUUGAACGCACAUUGCGCCCGCCAGUAUUCUGGCGGGCAUGC